AGUCAAUAGAUACCCUGGUAGUCCAUGCCGUAAACGAUGAAUACUAGGUGUAGGAGGUAUCGACUCCUUCUGUGCCGCAGUUAACACAAUAAGUAUUCCGCCUGGGGAGUACGGUCGCAAGAUUAAAAACUCAAAGGAAUUGACGGGGGCCCGCACAAGCAGCGGAGCAUGUGGUUUAAUUCGAAGCAACGCGAAGAACCUUACCCAGACUUGACAUCUCCUGAAUUAAUCGUAAUUGAUGAAAUCCCUUCGGGGACAGGAAGACAGGUGGUGCAUGGUUGUCGUCAGCUCGUGUCGUGAGAUGUUGGGUUAAGUCCCGCAACGAGCGCAACCCUUAUCAUUAGUUGCUAACAUUAAGUUGAGCACUCUAGUGAGACUGCCCGGGUUAACCGGGAGGAAGGUGGGAUGACGUCAAAUCAUCAUGCCCCUUAUGUCUGGGGCUACACACGUGCUACAAUGGUGGGAACAAAGAGAUGCAAGACCGCGAGGUGGAGCCAAACUCAAAAACCCAU
rnacentral:rRNA from 1 species